rnacentral:rRNA from 1 species
GACGAACGCUGGCGGCGUGCUUAACACAUGCAAGUCGAGCGGAGCGGCGAACGGGUGAGUAACGCGUGAGUAACUGCCCACCUCUCUGGGAUAAAAGUUGGAAACGGCUGCUAAUACCGGAUAGUGGGGGAUGACUCGGGUCCUAUCAGCUUGUGGGUGGGGUAGUGGCCUACCAAGGCGCGGACGGGUAGCUGGCCUGAGAGGUCGACCGGCCCCAUUGGGCUCAGAGACGGCCCAAACUCCUACGGGAGGCAGUAGGUGGGAAUAUUGCACAGUGGGGCAAACCCUGAGGCAGCAACGCCGCGGGCGGGAUGACUGCCUUCGGGUUGUAAACCGCUUUCAGCCAUUACGCGGUAGUGGCAGAAGAAGCACCGGCUAACUACGUGCCAGCAGCCGCGGUAAUAC